rnacentral:rRNA from 1 species
GGGGAAUCUUGGACAAUGGGGGAAACCCUGAUCCAGCCAUGCCGCGUGAGUGAUGAAGGCCCUAGGGUUGUAAAGCUCUUUCAGCGGGGAAGAUAAUGACGGUACCCGCAGAAGAAGCCCCGGCUAACUUCGUGCCAGCAGCCGCGGUAAUACGAAGGGGGCUAGCGUUGCUCGGAAUCACUGGGCGUAAAGCGCACGUAGGCGGGUCGUCAAGUCGGGGGUGAAAGCCCGGAGCUCAACUCCGGAACAGCCUUCGAUACUGACGAUCUUGAGUUCGGGAGAGGUGAGUGGAACUGCGAGUGUAGAGGUGAAAUUCGUAGAUAUUCGCAAGAACACCAGUGGCGAAGGCGGCUCACUGGCCCGAUACUGACGCUGAGGUGCGAAAGCGUGGGGAGCAAAC